rnacentral:rRNA from 1 species
GCCCCGGUAAACGGCGGCCGUAACUAUAACGGUCCUAAGGUAGCGAAAUUCCUUGUCGGGUAAGUUCCGACCUGCACGAAUGGCGUAAUGAUGGCCAGGCUGUCUCCACCCGAGACUCAGUGAAAUUGAACUCGCUGUGAAGAUGCAGUGUACCCGCGGCAAGACGGAAAGACCCCGUGAACCUUUACUAUAGCUUGACACUGAACAUUGAGCCUUGAUGUGUAGGAUAGGUGGGAGGCUUUGAAGUGUGGACGCCAGUCUGCAUGGAGCCGACCUUGAAAUACCACCCUUUAAUGUUUGAUGUUCUAACGUUGGCCCGUAAUCCGGGUUGCGGACAGUGUCUGGUGGGUAGUUUGACUGGGGCGGUCUCCUCCUAAAGAGUAACGGAGGAGCACGAAGGUUGGCUAAUCCUGGUCGGACAUCAGGAGGUUAGUGCAAUGGCAUAAGCCAGCUUGACUGCGAGCGUGACGGCGCGAGCAGGUGCGAAAGCAGGUCAUAGUGAUCCGGUGGUUCUGAAUGGAAGGGCCAUCGCUCAACGGAUAAAAGGUACUCCGGGGAUAACAGGCUGAUACCGCCCAAGAGUUCAUAUCGACGGCGGUGUUUGGCACCUCGAUGUCGGCUCAUCACAUCCUGGGGCUGAAGUAGGUCCCAAGGGUAUGGCUGUUCGCCAUUUAAAGUGGUACGCGAGCUGGGUUUAGAACGUCGUG